AGCGCAGGCUAGGCUUCAAGUCUUUUAUUUUUAAGUCUGGAAGAACUCACAUAUCUGUUAAAUGCCAUUUGGUUAGAAGAUAAGCAAGGAAAAAAAAAAGAAAAAAGAAAAGAAGGAAGGAAAAAGAAAACAAAAAUCAUAGUCACAGAUAGAGAACACUCCAGGUUCUUACUACAGCAAAAGAAGUUAUUCAAGUAGCAAAUCAGUCAGAUUACUGAGUAACACAACAUGACCCCCAAGCAUGGAUCCUUCAGCCUGAGUCUUACAACAGCUGGACUGGAACUUCAGAGCCUAGAUUGCUAAACCCCAGUCUGAAACAUAAAUAUAAGUUGGCUUGCAAACCUCUCAGAAAGAAAGAAAAGGCUUGGAUGUGUGAGAAGUUGAAUGAAGAGGGUCUCUAUACGUUUAUAUGUUAGAAUACUUGGUUCCCAGUUGAUGGGGCUCAUUGGCAAGAAUUAGCAAAUGUGGUCUUAUUAGAAGAGGUGUGUCACUGGGGAUGGGUUUUGUGGUUUAAAAGACACCAUUCCCAGUAUGCUCUAUCUGCCUCCUGUUUGUGGAUCAAGGGAACCCUCAGCUGCUGAUCCAGCUGCCUGACACCAUGCCUUCACUCUGCCAUUAUAGACUCAAACUGUUUAGAACCAUAUGCUCAAAUUAAAUUCUUUCUCUUGUAAGUUAUUGGUCACGGUGUUUUGUUAAAGUAACAGAAAAGUAACUAAGACAGUAUGUUACCCAGUUUUGGUGUCUUUAAAAACAGACAAUGCUAGCUAGCCAAGGACAGUGGCACGGGCCUGUGGUCUUGGGAGGUCGGGCUAGAGAAUCAGGAGCUCAAGGUAAUCUUCAACUACUGGUGAGUUUAAGGCCAGCAUGGGCUAUGUGAGACCUUGUCUCAAAAUUUAAAUAACAGAAUUUGUUUUAAAAUAGGGCCUUGCUGUACUAUCCAGGCUGGGCUACAGUUUCAAGGAUGAAGUAAUUCUUCCACUUUGGACCCCAAAGUCAGUGAGACUGGUAGAAAGGCCUGGAGAGUUUUGUUUUUGAGAAAUAGUCUCAUUGGACAGCCAUAGCUGGCCUGAAACUCAAUAUGUAUACCAGGUUGGCCUUAAACACACAGAGAUCUGCCUGCUUCUGUAGGAAAUGUGUGCAUGAUGAUGCACAGUUUGUUUUGGUUUUUAGACAGGUUUUCUAUCACUCUGGAGAUCAGGAAGUCCUCAAACUCACAGCAAUUCUCCCAUCGCAGCCCUGUGAGUGCUUAGAUUAAAGGUGUGAGCCAUUAUGCCCACUUGGUAUCUUUUUCUGUAGCACUGUAUGACAGUAGUUGUUGUGGAGUUGGGAAUGAGACCUUUUGUUGUUGGUUUCUUGAGAUGGGGUUUCACUGUACAGCUGUAGCUGGGCUAGGACUCCUGACGAUCCUUCUGCCUCUACCUCCUGGGUACUGGGCUUACAGGUGAGUAUCAUCACAUCCAGCUAUAAAAGAAUACUUUUCAUUCAACAUUGUUUUUAAGGUCUUGUAUUUUGAACCAUACAAUUUUUUUUUGUUUAUUUAUUUUGAGGCAUGGUCUUACUUUAGCUACCUGAAAUUUACUAUGUAGACUAGGUUGGCUCAAACUCAGAGAUUCACCUGCCUCUGCCUCCUGAGUAUUGGAUUAAAGGUGUACUUCACUAUGCCUGGCCUAUUUAUUAACUUUUAAAGUACCCUGUCAAGUACAUAGUAUAUUAAAAUGACUCAGGAAUAGUUAAACUCUCGGAUUGCUAAAUGGUUUCUUCCUUCCUUCCUUCCUUCUGUCCUUCCUUCCAUUCUUCCUUUCUUCAUUUAUUUAUUUAGUUUUCUGAGACAGGGUUUCUCAGUGUAGCUUUUUAUUUUUGGCUGUCCUGAAACUCAAUCUGUAGACCAGGCUGGCCUCGAACUUGCAGCCAUCUGCCUGUCUCCCAAGCUAACGGUGCACAACAGCUGUUGAUCUCCCAGAGGUACCAACAGCCCUACCUUUAAAAUGAUUAACUGACAAACCUGUUUGGGUUGGGCAGUGGCCUAUGACAUCAGAGAAAUUAUAGGCCUUAGAACAGCUGAUUUAGGAGCAGCUAAAUGCUCAAUAUAAAGAAAAAUCAACCAGCCCUUGGAAUUCUCCUGUAUUUUUGUAUUUGUUAUUAAAAAGAAAUCUGGAAAAUGGAGAAUGCAGACAGAUGAGAGAGCCAUAAAUAACGUAAUUCUGCCAGGGGACUCUCUACAGCCUGGAAUUCCUUUGCCUUCUCUGUUACCUAAAGGAUGGCCUCUCAUAGUUAUUCAUUUAAACGAUUGUUUCCGCACUAUACCUUUACAAGAAAAGGACAGUGAAGGUUUACUUUCAUGGUGCCUUCUUAUAACAACUCUCAGCUUAUUAAGAGACAUCAACGCAAGUUCCUCCCACAGAGGAUAUUAAACAGCCAUACCCUGUGCCAAUAUUUUGUGCAAUAACCAUUGGAAAUAAUUUGUUUACAGUUUCCACAAUCUAUAAUAUACCAUUGUAUGGAUGAUAUUUUAUUAGUUGAUUCAAAACUGGGUACUUUAGAAAAAAAUGUUUAAAGAAAUAAAAUUUUGCCUUGUUGGGGAUUACAAAUUCCUCCUAAAAAUAUAAAGAGAAAAUUCUAUUAAUUACUUAGGUAUAAAAUAGGUCUACAAAAAAUUUGACCCCAAAGUGUAUAACUCAGGAGAGAUCAACUGCAGACUCUUGAUGACUUUCAAAGAUUUCUAGGAGAUAUUUCCAAUCUUCAGCCCACUAUUAGGAUAAAAACUAAUGAACUGCAUACUUUGUUCCAUACUUUAGAAGGUGACAAGGGUUUAAAUAGUCCCAAGAAAUUAUCAGCAGAAACCGAGAGAAAAUUGGCUUUGGUGAAAGAAAAAUUACAGAAUGCACGUGUGGAUUGUGUGGAUCCGAAGCUUAAGUACAGUCUGGUUAUGUCACCCUCCAGUCACCCUACAGGGAUUCUAGUGCAUAGGGAAGAUAUUAUCUUGGAAUGGAUACUUUUUACCUUGCAAACAGAGUAAGAAAUUAAAGAGGUAUGUGAAAAUUUUUUCUGAUUUGAUUCUAAAAGGAAGAUUAAGACUUUAUCAGGUGAGAGAAAUUGACCCAACAGUAUUACCUUUUACUAAAGAGGAAGUUUCCUCUUUAUGGGCAGAAAAUGAAAGCUGAAAAAGAGCUUACAGUAAUUUUUUGGGAGAGAUCAAUAACAGUUAUCCCCAAAGCAACCAUUUGAGUCCUUCCCCACAUAGUAAGGAAAACACCAACAUCUGGAACCUCUACAUUCUAUACUGAUACAAAGGCAGGUUACAAAUCAGAAAACUUAAGCAAAGUGGUUCAAAGCCCUUAUAAUUCUGUAUAAUUCUAUACAAAAUUCAAAAUUGUAUGCCAAGAUUCUCACGAUACUAAUGGACUUUACAGAGCCUCUCAACAUAUUACCAACUCUCAAUAUACAGAAAGAGCUAUUUUACAUAUUAAAACCACUAAACUUAUUCCUGAUGAGUCAGAAUUAACUUCACAUUUAUACAAUUACAGGAAAUAGUCAGUGCCGGGUUCUCCAGCAGAAAGGGCAGACCUGGACCUGCCAGACUUUCCCUGGGGCUGAGCCGGAUGCAAAGAUAGCGGUCAAGUCACAUGAUUGCGUCCACCUUAAAGAAGGCAAAAUGACUGCAAACCAUCUGGUUGCUUUUUUGUUCAAGAUUCUGCAUGGUGGGAAGAGAGAACUGAUUCCUGCAAGUUGCCCUCUGACCUCUACGUGUGUCUUAUGGCAUGUACCACCCCAUCUAUAAAUAAAAAUAUGCACGUUGGGGGGAGGUUGCUGAUUUGUCAUGUACAAACUGACAUACAAAUCUGUUACAGUUGUUUGACAGACACCUGCAGGUUGCUGCCCAGGUCCACCCCUCCUGCCAGACUCAUGCCAAGGCCAGCCUGCAGAGGGUUCUCCAGAUAUGCUAGCCCCUGCACCAACCAAGGAUGCUAACUAAAUGAGUACCUACAGGUUGACUUUACCCACAUGCCCACUCAUAAAAAACUGUUUAUCUCCUAACUUGUUAACACUUUUACCUGAUGAAUAGAGCCAUUUCCUGCCUCCAGGGAAACAGCAGAUGUGAUGGCUCCUGUAUUCUUGGACCACAUCAUCCCUGUUUGGCAUGUCAUCAUCCCUCCACGCUCCUGGAACUUCACUGCUGCCACUGCCUUCUCUGCCUCCUCAAGGAUGAUAGUUAACCGAAUGCUUCUCCACUCAUACCUCCUGCUGAGUAUGACUCCUAAUUUUCUCUCCCCACGUUGUUCUGUGCCUGCAGGAAGUACCCAAACUUGGACUAGCACCUCUAUACCCAAGGAGUCUGAGAUGUUUAGGUGGAAGUCCUACUGGCAUCCAUAUAUACCCAAAAAGGUUGGAAUGUUUGGGAUCUCCAGCUUGGGGCUCCAUUCUAUGCUAAACCCACCUUCAGUGCAUCAGGUGGUGGCCCAUCCCCUGGAGCUGCCCUUUACAAACUCCUCACUUGAGAAAAGUCAGCCCCUCCUUUGGGCUCCUCAAGACCACGCCUAUAGGCUGCUUAAGACCUGGUAGCCAUAUUUGCCACGGUGAAGCAUGAUUAAUAAAACUCAGGGUCAGAAAUUGGGGUUCAACCUGAAAAUCUGAAAAUCAAAACAGCCAGCCAUUGGCUCUUACCUCGAUCUCAGUCUGACAUGGUGAUCCUGCCUCCUGGUGAAAAGACCCCAACUCAUUUCAGUUACAGUUAUGUCGUUUCGCAAAGGUUCACACAAACAAGCUCAGUUCAGGGAAAGGUCCCCGGAAUGCUGAGCAAAGCAGGAUACCUGAGGUCAGAGUGAGGACAGCCUUAUCGGGCUGCAGAACAGGGGAUUUAUGGUCAGACAUCUGGCAAGAUAUCCAGGACAGCCUUAUCAGGCUGUAAGGCAGGAGAUUUAUGGUCGGACAUCUGGCCGGAGAUGGGAGUAAAGACUACAAAGACGACCAUAUGUGCUUAAGAUAGAAUCAGGUAAGUUAUCUGGUUUCUUUGAUCCAGGCCAAGGACCACGAGACCUGCCCUCAAAUUCACCCCUCGCCUCAUUCAAACUGGCCAGUGAGAUCCCUGUAACCACGCUUUUAUUUCUGUACUUUGCUUCUGCCUAUAUAAGUUACCCCAAAACACAGCUCAGGGUGCUCAGUUCUCCAUGUGACUGCAGUACCCACAGGCCUGUGAACAAUAAAAAUUGCCUCUUGUUCUUGCAUCCAGUGGCUCUCGGACUUGGUUCUUGGGCACGGGUCUCCACAUGUAAAAGACACCCUUUGGGGUGCUCUUUCCUUUCACUGGAAUCUCAGAAGGAGGCUGUGUGACAGCUGUUUAGCCUUGUCUUAUAUUCCUUUCUAGGGCUGGGAUUAAAGGUGUACAC